rnacentral:rRNA from 1 species
UACGAAGGGGGCUAGCGUUGUUCGGAUUUACUGGGCGUAAAGCGCACGUAGGCGGAUCGUUAAGUCGGGGUGAAAUCCUGGAGCUCAACUCCAGAACUGCCUUCGAUACUGGCGAUCUUGAGUCCGGGAAGAGGUGAGUGGAACUCCUAGUGUAGAGGUGAAUUCGUAGAUAUUAGGAAGAACACCAGUGGCGAAGGCGGCUCACUGGUCCGGUACUGACGCUGAGGUGCGAAAGCGUGGGGAGCAACAGG